UAGAUACCCUGGUAGUCCAUGCCGUAAACGAUGUCUACUAGCCGUUGGGGCCUUUGAGGCUUUAGUGGCGCAGCUAACGCGAUAAGUAGACCGCCUGGGGAGUACGGUCGCAAGACUAAAACUCAAAUGAAUUGACGGGGGCCCGCACAAGCGGUGGAGCAUGUGGUUUAAUUCGAUGCAACGCGAAGAACCUUACCUGGCCUUGACAUACUAGAAACUUUCCAGAGAUGGAUUGGUGCCUCGGGAAUCU
rnacentral:rRNA from 1 species